ACGAACGCUGGCGGCAUGCCUAACACCUGCAAGUCGAACGAGACCUUCGGGUCUAGUGGCGCACGGGUGCGUAACGCGUGGGAACCUGCCCUUAGGUUCGGAAUAACUCCCCGAAAGGGGUGCUAAUACCGGAUAAUGUCUUCGGACCAAAGAUUUAUCGCCUUUGGAUGGGCCCGCGUUGGAUUAGCUAGUUGGUAGGGUAAAAGCCUACCAAGGCGACGAUCCAUAGCUGGUCUGAGAGGAUGAUCAGCCACACUGGGACUGAGACACGGCCCAGACUCCUACGGGAAGCAGCAGUGGGGAAUAUUGGACAAUGGGCGAAAGCCUGAUCCAGCAAUGCCGCGUGAGUGAUGAAGGCCUUAGGGUUGUAAAGCUCUUUUACCCGGGAUGAUAAUGACAGUACCGGGAGAAUAAGCUCCGGCUAACUCCGUG
rnacentral:rRNA from 1 species